ensembl:snoRNA U3 Small nucleolar RNA U3
AGGACUAUACUUUCAGGGAUCAUUUCUGUAGUCGUUGACUAGAGGAGAGUGAUCGUCCUUGUCCGGCGUCACAAGCCACGAGGAGGAGCGAGGCGCUGUCUCCUGAGCGCGAGGCGGGCGGGCGGCGCUGCUUGUGCAGGAGCCGCUCGUCAUCGAUGACCGUUCGCGGUUCCCGUGUUGGGUUCCGUGAGGGAGAGGGCGCGGGCUGAGUGGU